AUGAAGCAUAGGCUAUCUUGCAAAGCUGAUGAUAUUGAUAGCAUUGAAGAAGUUAUAGAUAUACAAAGAGAUCUAGAAAGAUAUCAAAAAGAUACCCUGAGAAAAAUAAAGCCGCAACAAGUAUACCACAUGGGAAUGUUUGAAAGUAAGAGUGGUCUAUACAGAAUAUCUCGAGAAGUGGAAUUAAGCGUGUUAACACAUCCAGUAGAUUUAAGAAUUGUAAGCAAAAAUAUUGAAAAUGAAUUAAAAUAUUGUGGUUACAAAUAUAUUCAUCAAGAAAAAAUGAGUUUUGGUUUCCAAACUAAAGGUUAUGAAGAUUUUAAAGGAACAAAUUUGCUAGUAAGUAUAGAAUUUAUAGGAAGGCUCACUAAUAGAAGUAGCUCCAGAUAUAGAGUGAAUGUAAAUGAUGUAAUUGAUAGUAUGCAAUCAAAAGGUAUUAAAUUUAUGAAUCCUCUUAAAAUUGGCUCUGAAGAAAGAGCAGGAGAAGAAUGGAAGAUAGGAGAAUUAAUAGAGAAAAAAGAAUUAAAGCAACCUGAAAACUACAUAAGCUAUCAAAAUUGUGAAGGAAGUAGCAGUAUUCGAUUUAUGAACUAUAAAGCUGCAUCAAUAGAAGACUCUGAAUCAUUUAUGUCAGAAUCGGAAAUUAAUGAUGAUAAGAAUAAAGGUAUAUCUGAAUGUAUGGAAAAGGCUAAUUUAGAUGAUGAAAUAAUUCAUUGGGAAAAGAAGCUAAAGCAUAUUGAAUGGGAAUAUAGUCAUUCUAUGACAAAGGAUUGGCCAAAAAUUAGAGAAAGAGAACUAUUUAUCAUCAGAGAAAUUGCAAGGUUAAAGAAACUAAAAAACCAUAAAAUGUCUGCCACUAGUAGUUCCAGCAUGGAAGAUAAAAUUAUAGCAUCCGCAGAAAGAAAAGCAAAUGAUAAGAAUAUUAUUCAAAAAGAAGAAAUUGUUAGUGAAGAAGAGCAAUGGGAUAUCAAUAAUAAGUUAUUAUUAGAAAGUUAUGAGGAAGAGGAAGAAUUAAUAAAAGAAAUGUGGUUAGAAGAUGAAAGAUAUGAUGAUUCAGAACAAAAUAGUGAUUUCUAUAACUCACUAGAUGAUGUGGGAGAAUCUGUAAAAGUUCUUUGGGAACAAUGGGUAGAAUCAUACCCUAGUCAAUAUGAAGAAUUAAAAAGGGCAGGAAGUAACCCUAAUAACUUUGCGAAUGUUAUCUCAAAUAUGAUCAUAGCAGAAGAUCCUGAAUUAGGACAUACCUCAUUGCAAAAUAAAAGGUUAAGAGAAAUAGAAAAAUUAACAUUAACUAGCUGGAAAGGUAUUAAAGAAUUUUCUCAGCAUUAUUUGUAUAAUGCUACUACUGCUAAACAAGGUUUUAAUGUAGGCGUAGUAGAAAGAUAUUUUAAUAAGUUGCCUGACCCCCUAGGGUCAAUAAUAUUUGAAGAAUAUAAAAAGGAAACGGCGGGAAAUGUGGUAAAUAUAUCUCAAGCUGUAACAUUUGUUUUCAAACAAUUAAGAAAGGUAUGUACUAGUAUUCAAGCCCAAAGAUCUAUGAAGAAAUCAGAUUAUAAUUUUUGUAAUAAUAUUGUCCAAAUACCACUUACAUAUGGAGAAGAAAGGCAUAGGAAUCAUCUAAGUAGAACUUGCCCUAAUAAAGACCAGAAAAGAUACUCUAGCAAAUAUGAAGAACAAGAGAGGGUAUUAAUUAUAGAUAGUGUUAAUGAAAAUAUAUUAGUAUGUGAUGAUGAAAUAAAAGACGAUGAGUCAAUAUAUUCAAUUAUAGAAACAGAUGAAGUAGAAAAUGAGGCUCCAGAAUAUGAAUCAAGUGAAGAUGAAAUAGACCUAAUAGAUGACUUAGCCGGUUUAAAAGUUGAAAUGAUGAACCAAGUAGAUUGUGAACAUGAUUGGAUUAGAGGAAAAGGUGAUUAUAACAUAAAAUGUGCUUUCUGCAUAUAUUAUCCAAGCCAAGAUAAUAGGUUUACAUGUAGCUUGUGUUUAAAACAAGCAUGUGCCUCAUGUCUAAGAGCCAAUAAUCAAAAGUGGAGACAAGAGAUAGAAUUAGAACCAGAAGAGCGAAUAUUAUCCAGUAGGGUUAGAAAUUUAGAAAAUAGAAUAAAUAAGCUAGAAGCAGAGCUAGAAAAACUUAAAGAUGAGUUAGAAAAUAGUAAACAGGAAAAUGAUAAUGUUCCAAAAAACACAGAAAUGAAAGAGCAAAUGAUAACAGUAAGGGAUAAAAAAGGAGACAAAUUAAUACAAUUGAAAGAUGCAAUUACUAGUUUUGGAAACAAAUAUAUUGUUCGAUUACCAUUCAAAGAAGUGUUAGGAAUAAGGAUCCCAGUUAAGAUUGUUCUGAAGCCAAAUAUUUCAUAUAAAGUACUGGCACUAUUAGAUACUGGUUGCACUAAAAAUAUCAUCCAUGAUAAAUAUUUUAUGAGAUGUCCCGAAAUAGUUGAAACUAUAGAUGAUAAUAAAGCUGAAGUAUCUACCGAUAUGUCAGGAAUAAAGAAGAUCCAUAACCAGCUAGCAUAUAAUAUUGAAGCUUACAUAAAUGGCACAAAAUAUAUAAUAGAUGAAAUUACAAUAAGAGAUUUGUCAGUAAUAAAUGAUGACAUGAUAAUAGGGUUAAGAUUUUUACAACAAUCUUUACAAACCACAAUCAUACAUGAAGAGGGGGUAACAUUUAUUCCUUAUCAAGAUAAUGUUCCAUACAUAUCUGAAGUGCGAAAA
rnacentral:rRNA from 1 species